GCCACAGUGGUCUAGCAGUCAGAACACUAGCCUUGUAAGCCUGGGGUCCCGGGUUCAAUUCCCGGUGGUGCUC
rfam:Zootermopsis nevadensis contig28386, whole genome shotgun sequence.